AACCCGCGAGGUCUCGGCCCAGCCGGUCGCAGCUUCCGCGCGCCCUGAGCCCCCUCCCGGCCCCCUCCUGACCCGACUCUCACCGCAGCCCGCGGUGCCCGGCGGCGCACCACGGACACCCAGUCCAUCCCUGCUACCUAAGCCACAUCUGCCCGGGCGCUCACGCACCUCUCUGCGCGGUUUUCCUUCCCGCCGGAGAACUGGCGCCGCGUGGGUCUGGACCCGGUUACCUUCUUCAGUGCACUGGGGAGGGUGAGGCCAAGGAAGGAAGUGGCUGAGGCAAAGAGAAAGACGGCUGUGGAGGAGGAGGAGCAGGGUAGGGGGAAAAGUAAGUGUUUCUGCGCUCAAGAAAGGGGCCGCCCACACUCCCAGGGACAAGCCUAUGAGGAGGAAACUCAGGGGAGGAGACGUCCAAGAAAGGGGCUGACUGCAGACAGGUGAAGCGCCCUGGGCUCCUAGGAAAACGGGCCCAGAGCCUGGAUUACCUCACUUUUCCACCGUGCUACUCAGAGCCAAGGAUCCCAGGAUCUGCAUCUGAUCCUGGGCGUCGAUUUCCUGAUGGAUUUCUCUCCCAACGUAAGAAACAAAGCGCCCUCAAAUUGCUGAAGGCUGCUAGAAAGAACGUGGCAUUCAUGGGUUCCGGAUGCCGGGGGCCUCCAGAAAACUACGACUCAUGACUUAAAAAUGGCUUAAUUCGCAAAACAAAAUGCAAUCUUGAAAGCCAAUUUGUCAGACUGCAAAGAAAUUUUACUUGGACAUAGAUAGUUGUUGACCCUGGGUCAGUAUCGGUUUCUUCCCUUGUUCAUUCAUUAUUUCAUACAUUUAACUUCAUAAUUCAAUUUAUUCAUGCUCCCUUUGUUUUAGUCACUGUUAUUUUAAUAUAUGCGUGUGUGAGAGAGAGAUGCUUACCGUACCCAGAGAGUCCUUUUGGAAAGGAAACAGUUACCCAAACUAUUUCUAGAGCAGGGGUUGCACAAAUAACUACAAAAAACGUUCCUUACCCCCUCCCCACCCCCAGCCCAGCUAAUUUAAAUUAAGAGUGAUCGCGUGACCCAAGAGCGCACAAUCCGUGAUGUAGUCAUCAUCCUGUGAGGUGACCUGGAGCAAACAGUUCUCAUCAAACACGGACUCUGAUAGUUAGUAAGCCAAUCAGACACUCCCUUGGAAAUGGAAAGUGGAGAAUGCAGAGACGGAGCUGUCUGAUGUAAGAGAAAGGUUGGAGCUAAGAGAGGGUAAGGCAGAAGGGGCCAAAAUGGGCUUCGGAUGCAAAACAUUUGAGUAAGCAGAAACCAGGAGAAUGUAGCAGCAGGUUGGGUGGAGGCACAAGUGGUAGAAGCCAGUCAAAGACAAGCUGAGACCAAGUGAUGGAAGGAGAGCAACAAAGACCUGCUUCCCAGGGGCAUGUGAGUGUUCAGUUCCCUGGGGCUGCACUGGAUCCAUCCACUUCCCACGCUUCAUUCUAGUCUUUACGGUGAAUACCUGUCUCCUGGGUGUGACUGAAGGAGUCUCUGUUCUGUAAUCUUCAACAAAGGUCUGAUUCUUCUAAGUGUCUCAUGGCAGAUAAAGUUUAAGGUGACUCCAAGAUCUUUUCAGACCUAUUUUUUUCUUUUACUUGUUUUAUAUUGUUACCAAAAUGAUUGAGGCCUAUUUUUUUCUCACCAAAAGAAAGGUGAGAAGUUAUAGUUUAUAUCUUUCACAGUCGACAUAAGGCAAAAAAUAUAUAAUUCAAGAAAAAUAUAUUUAGCAAUUAUCGAAGCAGGACCUCGCUAUUUUGGCCUGUGACAGGGAUCACAAUUCAUCAGUCAGAUAAUAUCCAAUGAUAGGAAUAAUGAGUCUGGAGAGCACCGCUUCUGUUAUGAUUAGGUAAUUAGUAUUGCCCUAAUUGCCAACCAAAGAAAAAGAAAUAGGUUACUUUACCUAAAGAAGUAAACAUCCUUGUUAAUAUAAAAAUAAACUCACCCAAAAGAUACUUUGUUUACACAUGUGCUAAACUAAGUAUAACACAAGCUUUAUGUUAAUCUAUAAGGAAUUACAAUUUAAGAAAAUUGUUUUGUCGGCUGGGCGCAGUGGCUCAUGCCUGUAAUCCUAACACUUUGGGAGGCCAAGGUGGACGGAUCACCUGAGGUCAGGAGUUCGAGACCAGCCUGCCCAACAUGGCAAAACCCCGUCUCUACUAAAAAUACAAAAAUUAGCCAGGCGUGGUGGCACAUGCUUGUAAUCCCAGCUACUCUGGAGGCUGAGGCAGAAGAAUCACUAGAACCCAGGAGGCGAAGGUUGCAGUGACCCAAGAGCGUGCCACUGCACUCCAGCCUGGGCAACAGAGUGAGGCUGCAUCUCAAAAAAAAAAAAAAAAAAAAAAAAGGAAAGAAAAGAAAAGAAAAGAAAAAAGAAAGCUGUUUUGAUAAAAGAAAUAUUAAAAAAUCUUAACUAAUAUUUUUCAUAUCCAAUCCUAGUCCUUCAAUUUCCAAAUAGACUUUUGUUAUCUAUUCUUAUUCCCUCAGGAAUAUCAUCAUGUACAAUGUAAGCAAUGUGGAAGUUUAACCUAAAAAGAAAAUAAUACAAUUUAUCAAAUUAAAGAGUAUUUAAUAUAUUUUAAAUAAAUGUGCCAGCCACAAAGUGCCAAUACUAAAUCGUCCAAAGUAGCCCAUGACCUGUCCUUUGUCAAACAGAACUGCAAGUAAUGUACAUUUGAAAUAUUAAAACAAUCCUUAUCCAUGUAUUUAAUUGCAUGCAUUGUAAUUUAAUUGCAUGUAUUUAAUUCGGACCAGCACUGUCCGAAGGAAAUAAAAUUGUGAACAACACGUCCAAUUUAAAAUUUCUAGUAGCCACAUUUUUUUUAAAAAGGUGAGAUUUAUUUUAAUAAUAUGUUUUAUUUCACCCAGUAUAUCCAAACUACUAUCAUUUCAACCUGUAAUGGAUAUUUUGAAAUUAUUAAUAAGACAUUGUACAUUCUUUAUUUCAUACUAAAUCUUGUAAGUCUAUUUUGUAUUUUACAUUUACCCAACAUUUCAGGUGCUCAAUAGCCUUCUAUGGCUAGUGGCUGCUGUAUUAGACAGUGUAGCUAUAGACAAUUCCAGAAUAAAGCGUUAUAUUAUAUGCUAAUACUUUACUUAAAAACUUAUUACAUGUUCCUGGAAGGAGAAAAAUAACACUAUGAUAUUUAAACACUCAUGGAAAAUCGAAGUCAUUAUUUUAAAAAUGCAGUUGUCUGCACUGUAAUGAAUAGAAAAAACUUUUCUAUUUUUUCCUCUAUCUUAGAGGAUCUCUAGGAUGGCAAUUCCAUCCUGGGUAUAUACCCAACAGAAAAGGGAGAUACAUUCACCAAGAGACAUGUACAAAAUAUUCACAGGAGCACUGACUGUGCAUAUUUCUUUCUUCUUCUUCCUUUUUUUUUUUUUUUUUUUUUUGAGAUGAAGUUUCGCUCUUGUCACCCAGGCUGAAGUGCAGUGGCGCAAUCUUCACUCACUGCAACCUCGGCCUCCCAGGUUCAAGUGAUUCUCCUGCCUCAGCCUCCUGAGCAGCUGGGAUUACAGACAUGCACCAUCAUGCCAGCUAAUCUUGUAUUUUUAAUAGAGAUGGGUUUUGCCAUGUUGGUCAAGCUGGUCUGGAACUCCUGACCUCAGGUGAUCCACCCACCUCAGCCUCCCAAAGUGCUGGGAUUACAGGCAUGAGCCACCAUGUCCGGCUGUAUUUCUAAAAUACAUAAUAUUUCUAAAAUACAGUGACUCAAUCCCCCAAUAACAUCAGAAUAAAUUGAUAAAUGUGGUACAUUCAUAUAAUGGCCUAUUAUCCACCAAGGAGAAAAACAACCAACAGCUGCAUGCAACAUGAUGAAUCUCACAAAUACAGUAUUGAGUGAAAUGAGGGUGACUAUUAUUCCUUUACACAAAGUUUUAAAAGCAGGUUAAACUAAUCAGCAGUGUUGGGAGUUAGGAUAGUGGUUAUUCCUGUUGGAUAGUGAAGGGUAGUGACUGAGAGGGGGCACGAUAGUGGCCUUAUGAGGGGCUGAUAAUGCUCUGCUUCUUGACCUGUGUACUGGUUACAUUAGUGUUUUAUUUUUAAGAAUUCAUUAAGCCAAAUACUUUAGAUAAAUAUGUAUACAUAUAUAUGUAUGUAUAUAUAUGUAUGUGUGUGUAUAUAUAUAUGUGUAUUUUUUCCUGUUUUAAAAAAUAAAACAUUUUUUUAAA
rnacentral:lncRNA from 10 species